CAAAACCUUAAAUCCAUGAGUUGAGCCCCACUGGAGGAAUAUAAAUGCAUGUAAUAUUGGUCUUAACUUGCUGUCCAUAAUUGAUUUUCUCAAAACUUUGCACUAACAAGUUUAACUGUGUGCCAAACUAACUUGACCAUCAUGACUAACACCUAAGGAAACCUUGAUCUGGUAAUUUGGUGGCCAUGGGAGCUUCCUAGGUGCCCUUGACAUAUUGUCGAACACCUUGAGUUCAUGUACUCAUUUGACAUGGAUUUUUGUGUGCAUUGUAGAGUUGCUCAACUGGCCCAACCAGGAUGUCUAAGAUUUUUGUCUUGACCAGCAACCCCUCUCUGGUGAUUUUGGUGAGCACCUGAACCUUAUAGCCGUGCCAGGCUUUUUGUCGAGCAUGUGGUGAGAGUGUCCAGAG
rnacentral:lncRNA from 1 species